CCUACGGGUGGCAGCAGUGAGGAAUAUUGGUCAAUGGGCGGGAGCCUGAACCAGCCAAGCCGCGUGAGGGAAGAAGGUACAGCGUAUCGUAAACCUCUUUUGUCAGGGAACAAAGGCGGGGACUAGUCCCCGGAUGAGGGUACCUGAAGAAACAGCAUCGGCUAACUCCGUGCCAGCAGCCGGGGUAAUACGGAGGAAGCGAGCGUUAUCCGGUUUUAUUUGGGUUAAAGGGUGCGCAGGCGCCCCGUUAAGUUUGCGGUAAAAGCCCGGGGAUCAACCCGGGGGAGCGGUGGAAACUGGGGGGCUGGAGUGGGAGAGAAGUACGCGGAAUGCGGGGUGUAGCGGUGAAAUGCUUAGAUAUCGCGAAGAACCCCGGUGGCGAAGGCAGCGUACCGGCUCCAAACUGACGCUGAGGCACGAAAGCGUGGGUAUCGAACAGGAUUAGAUACCCUUGUAGUC
rnacentral:rRNA from 1 species